rnacentral:rRNA from 1 species
AGCAGCCGCGGUAAUUCCAGCUCCAAUAGCGUAUAUUAAAGUUGUUGCAGUUAAAAAGCUCGUAGUUGAAUUUCGGGACCAAUAUGUUGGUCGUGCCUAGGUACGUACUGGCAUUAUUGGUUUCUUCCCUCUGAAGAACCACGAUGCCAUUAAUUUGGUGUCAUGGGGAAUCAGGACUGUUACUUUGAAAAAAUUAGAGUGUUUAAAGCAGGCUCGCGCUUGAAUACAUUAGCAUGGAAUAAUGAAAUAGGACGUUUGAUUCUAUUUUGUUGGUUUCUAGGAUCGACGUAAUGAUUAAUAGGGAUAGUUGGGGGCAUUAAUAUUCAAUUGUCAGAGGUGAAAUUCUUGGAUUUAUUGAAGACUAACUACUGCGAAAGCAUUUGCCAAGGAUGUUUUCAUUAAUCAAGAACGAAAGUUAGGGGAUCGAAGACGAUCAGAUACCGUCGUAGUCUUAACCAUAAACUAUGCCGACUAGGGAUUGGAUGAUGUUAAUUUUUAAUGACUCAUUCGGCGCCUUACG